CAAGAACAUGCCUCUGUCAAAAUGAGGAUCUUCCUCUUGAUGUACUUUUUUUGUGUCCAGGAUAGUACCGAAGGUGGAUGUGUACAGAUUGCUAACAGAACCAUGGCACUCUUGACAAGCAGACCCAGAUGUUUGGAUGCUUGUUAUCCCCGCUGCAGAAGGUUAUCCCGUUUCCAGUUCUGCCCAAGAAGCAGAUCACAGAAGUGCUGCCUACUUCAGGAGUGAGCAGAGAGGUCAAGAGCAGGAGUUAUGCGGGGAAGAGAGAGGCAGCCACAAGGAUCUGCUGCAGCCACGAGGUCUCCUCCUCACCUCAGCUGCCCUGGGAGCAGGAAAUGUCCAACCUGCUCAGCCUGCUGUGUAUUUCAACAGUAAAUUAAAGGUCUUCGUUAGCUUAUUUGAUAGUUGAAUAAAAUGCUUUGAAACACUGGCA
rnacentral:lncRNA from 1 species